rnacentral:rRNA from 1 species
GAUGAACGCUGGCGGCGUGCUUAACACAUGCAAGUCGAACGGGAAGCCUUUUAUUGAAGCUUCGGCAGAUUUAGCUGGUUUCUAGUGGCGGACGGGUGAGUAACGCGUGGGUAACCUGCCUUAUACAGGGGGAUAACAACCAGAAAUGGUUGCUAAUACCGCAUAAGCGCACAGGACCGCAUGGUCCGGUGUGAAAAACUCCGGUGGUAUAAGAUGGACCCGCGUUGGAUUAGCUAGUUGGCAGGGUAACGGCCUACCAAGGCGACGAUCCAUAGCCGGCCUGAGAGGGUGAACGGCCACAUUGGGACUGAGACACGGCCCAGACUCCUACGGGAGGCAGCAGUGGGGAAUAUUGCACAAUGGGGGAAACCCUGAUGCAGCGACGCCGCGUGAAGGAAGAAGUAUCUCGGUAUGUAAACUUCUAUCAGCAGGGAAGAUAGUGACGGUACCUGACUAAGAAGCCCCGGCUAACUACGUG